CUGCUGUGUUAGAGCUUCACCGCCUUACCCCAGGCAUGGAAGGUAAACUAAAAAUUGACCUCCAUUUGCUCUAUCCCUAACUGGAAAACCAAACUCCAACUCCCUAGUUGGAUUCUGUAUUAAGAGUAUAAAGAUUCAUUCAGGCCNGGCCUAGUUUGACCUGUGAAUGAUUAUGCUCUAUUUACAGAUUAACAGAUAAAUAUAUGUAAGUAACAAACAAUGGAUUUCAUCUCCUACUUGCAACUUCUAAAGGGGGUUAGCUAAUUAAAAC
rnacentral:misc_RNA from 1 species